UACGGGGGGGGCAAGCGUUGUUCGGAAUUACUGGGCGUAAAGGGCUCGUAGGCGGCCAACUAAGUCAUACGUGAAAUCCCUCGGCUUAACCGGGGAACUGCGUCUGAUACUGGAUGGCUUGAGUUCGGGAGAGGGAUGCGGAAUUCCAGGUGUAGCGGUGAAAUGCGUAGAUAUCUGGAGGAACACCGAUGGCGAAGGCAGCCUUCUGGGCCAACACUGACGCUCAUGCACGAAAGCGUGGGGAGCAAACAGG
rnacentral:rRNA from 1 species